CCUACGGGAGGCUGCAGGGAGGAAUAUUGGGCAAUGGACGAAAGUCUGACCCAGCAACGCCGCGUGAAGGAUGAAGGCCUUCGGGUCGUAAACUUCUUUUAGGGGAGACGAGAAAGGACGGUAUCCCCUGAAUAAGCCACGGCUAACUACGUGCCAGCAGCCGCGGUAAAACGUAGGUGGCGAGCGUUAUCCGGAUUCAUUGGGCGUAAAGAGCUUGUAGGUGGUGCGAUAAGUUGGACGUGAAAACUCCGGGCUUAACUUGGAGAGGCCGUUCAAUACUGUUGCGCUAGAGGGCGUCAGAGGGAAGUGGAAUUCCUGGUGUAGCAGUGAAAUGCGUAGAUAUCAGGAGGAACACCCGUGGCGAAGGCGGCUUCCUGGGACGUACCUGACACUGAGAAGCGAAAGCUAGGGGAGCAAACGGGAUUAGAUACCCGAGUAGUC
rnacentral:rRNA from 1 species